CAGUAGCCGCGGGAAUACGAAGGGUGCAAGCGUUAAUCGGAAUUACUGGGCGUAAAGCGUGCGUAGGCGGUGAGUUAAGUCUGCUGUGAAAUCCCCGGGCUUAACCUGGGAACUGCAUUUGUGACUGGCGGGCUAGAGUAUGGCAGAGGGGGGUAGAAUUCCACGUGUAGCAGUGAAAUGCGUAGAGAUGUGGAGGAAUACCGAUGGCGAAGGCAGCCCCCUGGGCCAAUACUGACGCUCAUGCACGAAAGUGUGGGGAGCAAACAGGAUUAGAUACCCCGGUAGUCCCUGUCUCUUAUAC
rnacentral:rRNA from 1 species